rnacentral:rRNA from 5 species
GACGUUGAUAGGCCGGGUGUGUAAGCGCAGCGAUGCGUUGAGCUAACCGGUACUAAUGAACCGUGAGGCUUAACCUUACAACGCCGAAGCUGUU